UACGUAGGGCGCGAGCGUUGUCCGGAAUUAUUGGGCGUAAAGAGCUCGUAGGCGGCCUGUUGCGUCCGCUGUGAAAGCCCGGGGCUUAACCCCGGGUCGGCAGUGGAUACGGGCAGGCUAGAGGUAGGUAGGGGAGAAUGGAAUUCCCGGUGUAGCGGUGAAAUGCGCAGAUAUCGGGAGGAACACCGGUGGCGAAGGCGGUUCUCUGGGCCUUAACUGACGCUGAGGAGCGAAAGCGUGGGGAGCGAACAGG
rnacentral:rRNA from 1 species